GAUGAACGCUAGCUACAGGCUUAACACAUGCAAGUCGAGGGGAAACGACAUCGAAAGCUUGCUUUUGAUGGGCGUCGACCGGCGCACGGGUGAGUAACGCGUAUCCAACCUGCCCAUCACUUGGGGAUAACCUUGCGAAAGUAAGACUAAUACCCAAUGAUAUCUCUAGAAGACAUCUGAAGGAGAUUAAAGAUUUAUCGGUGAUGGAUGGGGAUGCGUCUGAUUAGCUUGUUGGCGGGGUAACGGCCCACCAAGGCGACGAUCAGUAGGGGUUCUGAGAGGAAGGUCCCCCACAGUGGAACUGAAACACGGGCAAAACUCCUACGGGAGGCAGCAGUGAGGAAUAUUGGUCAAUGGGCGAGAGCCUGAACCAGCCAAGUAGCGUGCAGGAUGACGGCCCUAUGGGUUGUAAACUGCUUUUAUAAGGGAAUAAAGUGGGAGUCGUGACUCCUUUUGCAUGUACCUUAUGAGUAAGGACCGGCUAAUUCCGUGCCAGCCGCCGCCGUAA
rnacentral:rRNA from 1 species